CAUGAAACUUGUGCAGAAAUUAAUAUUCCUGACCAAGACAAAAUAUCUAAUGAAAAUAUUUGAUUUGUUUAAAUCCUGUAAUGGACUGAUAAAUUAUUUUUCGCUUGGAGAAAUCCCAGGCGAGAACCAGGGUUCCAUAGAGAACCCUUUACAAAUUUUAAUAUUUCACCUGAAUAACUCAUUUACGACAUUUGCACAUGAAAAUGUGUUUUCGUUGAUUGAGUGCUUUACCC
rnacentral:lncRNA from 1 species